GACGAACGCUGGCGGCGUGCCUAAUACAUGCAAGUAGAACGAGUUGCGAACGGGUGAGUCACGCGUGGUAACCUGCCUCAUAGCGGGGGAUAACUAUUGGAAACGAUAGCUAAUACCGCAUACUUUGAGAUGGAUCUCCGUUGUAUUAGCUAGAUGGUUGGGUAAAGGCCCACCAAGGCGACGAUCCAUAGCUGGUCUGAGAGGAUGACCAGCCACACUGGAACUGAGACACGGUCCAGACUCCUACGGGAGGCAGCAGUGGGGAAUAUUGGACAAUGGGCGAAAGCCUGAUGCAGCCAUGCCGCGUGUAUGAAGAAGGCCUUCGGGUUGUAAAGUACUUUCAGCGGGGAGGCGUUACCCGCAGAAGAAGCACCGGCUAACUCCGUGCCAGCAGCCGCGGUAAUUC
rnacentral:rRNA from 1 species